GGACUCAAGCGAUCCACCCGCCAGGGCCUUCCAAAGUGCUGGGAUUACAGGUGUGAGCCACCGGUGCCUGGCCACACUUUGUAUUUCUCAGGAGGCUGGACCUUGGCCUUCUCCGCACCACCCUCCCUUCCCUUUGGACUUGAGGUUUGCACAGUCUCUGUUUUUCAUUCUCAGGAUCUUCCUUUCACAUCUUCCUAAGCAUAUCCUGUCAAAUACUGCAUUUCAGUUAUGAUUUCCCUACCCCAGCUGUCGUUUUCUUUAGAUCUCAUGUAGCCUCACUACCCAUGCCACAUAUUGGAGUGCAGUAAUGCCCUGCCUGGUCUUUUGGGUAAUCCCUGGUUUCUCUGUCUACAGCUUGGCUCUCUGGCAGAUUUCCUCUAGUAAGAGGUGGCUCUGGAGGCCCCGCGAAACGAGUGUGGUGUGUGGUUGCAAGGCAUGAUGGCUGCAAAAGUGGUUCCUAUGCCCCCAAAGCCAAAGCAGUCCUUUAUACUGAGAGUUCCGCCAGACUCCAAGCUGGGCCAAGACCUACUUCGAGAUGCCACUAAUGGGCCCAAGACCAUCCACCAGCUAGUGCUGGAGCACUUCCUCACCUUCUUGCCCAAGCCAAGCCUGGUCCAGCCCAGUCAGAAAGUCAAAGAGACCUUGGUUAUUAUGAAAGAUGUGAGCUCAAGCCUUCAGAACAGAGUGCAUCCUCGUCCCUUGGUGAAGCUUCUGCCCAAAGGAGUCCAAAAAGAACAAGAGACAGUGUCUCUGUAUUUGAAAGCUAACCCUGAGGAGCUGGUGGUCUUUGAGGAUUUAAAUGUAUUUCACUGCCAGGAAGAAUGUGUGAGCUUGGAUCCUACUCAACAACUCACCUCAGAGAAGGAAGAUGACAGCAGUGUUGGGGAGAUG
rnacentral:sRNA from 1 species